rnacentral:lncRNA from 1 species
CUUGAUUUCAACUAUAAUUUCAGUGGUCUGCUGAAUAAAGAGGUGCCUUUGUACUGCAGUCACCUCCAAUGCCUGGCUUUGGCCCAUUGGUGUGCAUGCAGCUCCUGCCAGCCUCUCCCACCACCUCCUUCCCCUGGGUUUUUGGGAACCUGAGUGGGAUCUUGAUGCAAAGGGGAACUGAGGAACUCAUUAAAGAAGAAAUAUUCUGUACUCUGACAUCCUUAUGCACAUCCCACUUGUAAGAAACCACUGCAAUGUAAACGAUGAGGAAUUUGCAAUUCAGCCCAUCUAGACCCAACAUCAGCAUCUCUUCCUAUUGCACAGGAAUGUGGAACAUAAAUAACAAACACUCAGAAUUGCAGAUAAACUGGAACGUCAGAUGACUUUAAGUGGUGCAAAAACUACGAGGAUCUGAAUCAGUUUAAGAUUUGAAAUUAAGACAGUCAUUUUCUGGAGUCCCAUCUGGCAGAUAAUUGUUCCCUAUUAAGUAGCAAUUUGGAAAGAAAUGCAGGGGGAAAAGUCAGAUUGAAAUAUUUAGAAACAUAUUUCUCUAGCAUUUAAAGCUCUCUUUGAAGUCUUUGGGAAAUCUAUCAAAUACAUGGUUUUUUUUAAGACGGUAACAAUUCAACAACAAUUGCAUAGAAAAUUAAGACAUUGAGAAAAUGAAAAUCGAUCCUUUAUAAAUACUAACCUUAAUCCAAAAAGUGUUGCAUAUUUGGUCAGACAAAAAGCAUAGUCACUUUUUUGUAAAGAAAUGGACUACAAAAUAUACUUUAAAAACAUGCUAGCUACUCUGAGAACUGGUUUAGAUAUGUUAUCAAGCAGCAGCUUUUUAUACAAUAGAGAAUAACAUAGUGCUGGUUUGGGAAAUAUUCUACAUUCAGAAAAU